AUACAGAGGGUGCAAGCGUUAAUCGGAAUUACUGGGCGUAAAGCGCGCGUAGGUGGUUAGUUAAGUUGGAUGUGAAAGCCCUGGGCUCAACCUGGGAAUGGCAUUCAAAACUGGCUGACUAGAGUAUGGUAGAGGGAAGGGGAAUUCCAGGUGUAGCGGUGAAAUGCGUAGAUAUCUGGAGGAACAUCAGUGGCGAAGGCGCCUUUCUGGACUAAUACUGACACUGAGGUGCGAAAGCGUGGGUAGCGAACAGGAUUAGAAACCCUAGUAGUCC
rnacentral:rRNA from 1 species